rnacentral:tRNA from 1 species
UCCUCGGUAGCUCAACGGCAGAGCGUUCCGCUGUUAACGGAAGGGUUUCUGGUUCAAAUCCAGACCGAGGAG